rnacentral:rRNA from 1 species
CCUACGGGUGGCAGCAGUGAGGAAUAUUGGUCAAUGGGCUUACGCCUGAACCAGCCAAGUCGCGUGAGGGAAGACUGCCCUAUGGGUUGUAAACCUCUUUUGUCAGGGAGCAAUUGGCGCUACGUGUAGCGUUAUCGAGAGUACCUGAAGAAAAAGCAUCGGCUAACUCCGUGCCAGAAGCCGCGGUAAUACGGAGGAUGCGAGCGUUAUCCGGAUUUUUUGGGUUUAAAGGGUGAGUAGCCGGAAUGCCAAGUCAGCGGUAAAAUCGCGGGGCUCAACCUCGCUCCGCCGUUGAAACUGGCGUUAUUGAGUGGGCGAGAGGUAUGCGGAAUGCGUGGUGUAGCGGUGAAAUGCAUAGAUAUCACGCAGAACUCCGAUUGCGAAGGCAGCAUACCGGCGCCCAACUGACGCUGAAGCACGAAAGCGUGGGUAUCGAACAGGAUUAGAUACCCGAGUAGUC